AUUGCACGCUGGCGGCAGGCCUAACACAUGCAAGUCGAACGAGUGGCGGACGGGUGAGUAAUGUCUGGGAAACUGCCUGAUGGAGGGGGAUAACUACUGGAAACGGUAGCUAAUACCGCAUACCAUCAACUGUUCCCAGAUGGUAUUAGCUUGUUGGUGAGGUAUCGGCUCCCCACGGCGACGAUCCCUAGCUGGUCUGAGAGGAGGAUCUGCCAAACUGGAACUGAGACACGGUCCAGACUCCUAAGGGAGGCAGCAGUGGGGAAUAUGGCACAAUGGGCGCAAGCCUGAUGCAGCCAUGCCGCGUGUAUGAAGAAGGCCUUCGGGUUGUAAAGUACUUUCAGCGGGGAGGCGGUACCCGAAGAAGAAGCACCGGCUAACUACGUGCCAGCAGCCGCGGUAAUAC
rnacentral:rRNA from 1 species